GGGGGGCGGAGUUUCUCUUUCCCAGUCCUGGGAUUUGUCAGAGGAAUGGUAUCCAUGGAGACAGAAACCAAGGCAGGGGUUCCAGGAAUCCAAGGGAGUUGAAGUGGGUCACUUACUCAGUAGGUAAUGGCUGUUGGUGGAUGAAAAGCCCAGCAAUGUGAAUGGUUCUCAACUGGAGCCCCAGGAAGGAGAGGAGAGACAACGAGACAGGAAAGGAAAGAGACUGGAUGGAGGCUAGGGAAGGCCUGGAACCUCAAACACCUGACUUGGGUUUCAGCACCAACAUGUAAGGAAAGAACUAAACGAAUGAAAUAAAGAGAGAAAUAGGAAAGCAACCUCAUGGAUCAGAGACCUCCUUGCCAUUUUGUUUCCACAUCCACCACCAGUCUUCUCAUCUCUUUGAAGAGUAACAAGAGUACAUAUGCUUUUCACCAGAGGAAAUUUGAGAUAUUCCUGGAGAGGAGGACCUCAAAUCAGGAUAUAACUCAUUGGUAGAGUGCUUGCUGUUGGUAAAGAUGGUUCCUGGAGCGCUUCUCUUCCAGGAGCUCAGGUCCAUGACCCACUGAAUGGUGCGCAAACCGUCACCUCCAAUCCUUGAAGUGGCGAAAGCUCCCGGCCAAUGAAGAAGUAACAACCCACUCACCCUGCUCCUCCUCAUCCUGCGUUGAGCCCAUAAAUAUCAACACUCUGUUCGUGUGUUCCCUGUCUCUCUCUUCCCUUCUCCUCUCUUUUCUCUCUCU